UCUGAUGAUUAAUCGGCUGGAAAAUUGCUAAAAAUCACAGUGCUAUAAAUGCAUGUAGUUGAUGUACAUUCUAAGAAAUCAGGUUGAACUAGAAAAUAAUUACAUUUGGUUUUCAGGACAGCGGGAUAACUAAAGUUUGCUAAUACAACGAGGAUAAUAACUACAAAUAUAGUGCACCAAGUAAUUUGAAGUUCCUUACACCGUGUAAUUUUCAAAGCAGGAACUGUCGGAAACAUAUUAAUAGCACGAGCACUGUAUGUCAAAUUAAUAAAUCUCCAACAACGUUCAUUACUAUCGUUGUCCACACUCACAAAGUCUGCAUUUAAUUCGCAAAUCCAUGACACUCAAUCAUCGUGUGCAUGCUGCUCAUUGCGUAACAGGGGCAUAAAGUCAAAAAUGUGGAGAUCAAGAUUUAAUUGAUUCAUCGUUAAUUUCGAAAUAAUUACAGAAGCAUCAAGCAUGAAAAUCAAAUGAAUACCUAGAGACUGGAAGACGUUGGGCGUGAAUGUAUAUUAGGAUGAUGACCCAGAAUUAAUAGAAGUGGAAUUGAAGAUCAAGUACACUGGGAAAAAAAUUCGUUCACUUAAUCAUUCGAAUCAUAUCAAUCAGUGUAAUGAUAGGCCUCAAUAGAGCUUUUAAAACUCUUCCAAUCAGAUGUUUCAAAUAAGAAGAUUAUCAUCUUGACAAGCUGGGCCCUUGCUAGGCCAAUUACAAGCACCAGCACUACUAUCAAAGGUCAAAUGGAUUGGACAGUUGAAUAUGUGAAGAGUAAAUUUCUUCUUCCAAUCAUCCCAAUGACAAGCAUAAAAUUUAUUACAGUGCUUAGGAUGUCUAAAGAGUCCAGGUCGAGCACAUUCAGCUCUUCCCUCUGGGUUCAAUUCAAGUACUCCGAUUUCUCCGAAGUCGGUACGAUCAGAAGCUUUUUCUUUCGAUAAAUUGUUUGACCUUGAAGACCCUAGACUCUUUCCACUUCGAGAUCGAGCACGAGAAGAGUAAGAACUUGCUUCUAUGUCACUAGCAGAUACUCGAAGCAGCGAAGAAGCUGUAGUGGAUGGUAGAUCCAUGCAAGCAAAGAACCAUCUACAAUUUUGUGGAUCAGCGUAAUAACCUUCUCCUGGACAGUGGAAUCGUCUUGCACCUGAAGGAGCUAUUUCAGGACUUCCGGGACAUGCUGACCCUUGAGGAAGUGAUCCAGGCCAAACACACACUUCUGUUGUUUCAUCAAAAGCUAGUCCAGCCGGACAGUCGAAUUCAAAAAUGCUGUAUUGUUCUAUUUGCUGAUUAAACUUGACACAUCGAUAAAAUCUGAUGAGGAGGGUUCUUUGAUGUUGGAGUACACGAUUGAUACUGGACCCUGGGACGAAUCGCGUGUUCACCUAGUAAAGACUUCGUGCGGAUGAAACUGUGAAUGUUGAAAUCUGAAUCAAACAGUAGGCUGAUAAAAAAUAAAAAAAACUUGAGAAAAGUUACGGUAUGUCGAUCAUCAGAUCGCUCAGGGCGAUCUGGUGCAACAUUUACGAUGACCACGCCAUUCUCAUGUCCUAGAAGAGGAAAGGAGCGUGAUGUCAUGAAGAAAAAUACCUUUUCUCAUGACCAACGACACGUGGGUGUCUUGUGAAUCUUGAAGAUUAAUGGUUUGCACUGAAAAAAGUAUUCAAUAAAAAGGAAGUGUAAAAAAGAUCUACUGAUGGCAAGAGUUACAGUACAAGAAAUUGUGAAAUAUUUCCGCUAUAAUUGGUCCAUUUGACCUCGUUGAUUGUGAAUUUGAUGAGCGUGGAGUUGAGCAAACCCAUCAUAUGGAAGUUGUAAAAAACAAAAACAAACUAACAAUUUUGUUCUCUACAGAGGAAGCUAACGAUUGCCAUUCUUGUUGUUGCUACACAUCUUAUUCUUUUGAAUAAUAAUGAGAUAAGAGAAAGAACCUACUUAUUGUUGAUCAAUGAAAAAGUUCAAAUAUAAAGCUUGAAUAAUUUAAGAGACAUUAAUUAGCCAUUUAUCAUGUAUUCAAGAAUUUUUAAUCAUUCAUUAAAAAUGUUAAUAGCUUAAAUUUUUUCUCUCAGUUAAAAUUGUAUUAAGUAACAUUUUAACAUCUCAAAGAUAUAAUUCUUAAUUGUAAUGGCAAAAUUAUCGUUGAAAGUUUACGGCUUUUAAAAUAUUAUAUGAAGGUAUGAAGUCAAUUAUUUUUUAAGAGACUGCGGCUUGUGAAAAUUUUCUUUGACCUUUCUGUACAUUUUGUUCAAGCCAAUUGUGAAAAUAUGUAUAUAAAUGUAUCGAUAUAUAUGUAUAUUAUAAACACAUAAGUAGAUUAUGUAUCGACAAUUAGGGAUACAUUUAAAGUGGGCGAAGUUUCACGUUAAAUUCAAGUGCCUCAAGCAAUCGACAGUAUUUUAAGUAUCUGCAAAGACGCACGAAAGCCUCAGGUUAUGCUUUCCCUUUCGAUAAAACCGACAUCAGUUUAAAACAUUCAAUACUUUACGGUUUGAAAAAAAAAAAAAAUUUUAUUUCGUUCCAAAAAAUUCUCGAUUAAUUUAUUUAAUAAACUAGCUUUCACGUUCAUCACAUGAAUCAGUUGUUUUCAAGAAUUAUUUGUUAUUCUUCAUUUGUUCCGGGAUUAUAAAGUUGUUUAUCAGGAUGUAAAAAUUUCUAAUUCAUACAUAGUAAUAUAAAUCUUGGUAACAAUAAAAAGAAGGAGUUUUAUGAGUAUUAUAUGAAAUUACAUAUUAAUAUUGUGUUAAUGAAAUCUCAACUUGAAUGCAUUGU
rnacentral:lncRNA from 1 species